rnacentral:rRNA from 1 species
GAUGAACGCUGGCGGCGUGCUUAACACAUGCAAGUCGAACGGAAAGGCCGAAGCUUGCUUCGGUCCUCGAGUGGCGAACGGGUGAGUAACACGCGGGUGAUCUGCCCUGUACUUCGGGAUAAGCUUGGGAAACUGGGUCUAAUACCGGAUAUGACGAUCUCUUGGAUGGGGUUGUGGAAAGCUUUUGCGGUAUGGGAUGAGCUCGCGGCCUAUCAGCUUGUUGGUGGGGCAAUGGCCUACCAAGGCGUCGACGGGUAGCCGGCCUGAGAGGGUGUACGGCCACAUUGGGACUGAGAUACGGCCCAGACUCCUACGGGAGGCAGCAGUGGGGAAUAUUGCACAAUGGGCGCAAGCCUGAUGCAGCGACGCCGCGUGGGGGAUGACGGCCUUCGGGUUGUAAACUCCUUUCGCAAUCGACGAAGCCUUUUGGUGACGGUAGGUUGAGAAGAAGCACCGGCUAACUACGUG